rnacentral:rRNA from 1 species
AGGACGAACGCUGGCGGCGUGCUUAACACAUGCAAGUCGAACGGUGAAGUCGGUGCUUGCACUGACGGAUCAGUGGCGAACGGGUGAGUAACACGUGAGUAACCUGCCCCUGACUCUGGGAUAACCCCGGGAAACCGGAGCUAAUACCGGAUACGAACCACUCAGGCAUCUGAGAGGUUGGAAAGAUUUAUCGGUCAGGGAUGGACUCGCGGCCUAUCAGCUUGUUGGUGGGUAACGGCCCACCAAGGCGACGACGGGUAGCCGGCCUGAGAGGGCGACCGGCCACACUGGGACUGAGACACGGCCCAGACUCCUACGGGAGGCAGCAGUGGGGAAUAUUGCACAAUGGGCGAAAGCCUGAUGCAGCGACGCCGCGUGAGGACGAAGGCCGUUCGGGUUGUAAACCUCUUUCAGCGAGGGAAGAAGACGAAAGUGACGGUACCUGCGAAGAACGAAGCCAACCGGACUAACGUACCGU